UGGGUAACCUGCCUUAUAGUGGGGGAUAGCCUUUCGAAAGGAAGAUUAACACCGCAUAAGAUUGUAGUAUCGCAUGAUAUAGCAAUUAAAGGAGCAAUCCGCUAUAAGAUGGACCCGCGUCGCAUUAGCUAGUUGGUGAGGUGAUGGCUCACCAAGGCGACGAUGCGUAGCCGACCUGAGAGGGUGAUCGGCCACAUUGGGACUGAGACACGGCCCAGACUCCUACGGGAGGCAGCAUG
rnacentral:rRNA from 1 species